rnacentral:rRNA from 1 species
AACGUAGGAGACAAACGUUAUCCGGAGUUACUGGGCGUAAAGGGCGUGUAGGUGGUUUCGUAAGUCUGGCGUGAAAUUUUUCGGCUUAACCGGGAAAGGUCGUCGGAUACUGCGGAGCUAGAGGACGGUAGAGGCGUGUGGAAUUCCGGGUGUAGUGGUGAAAUGCGUAGAGAUCCGGAGGAACACCAGUGGCGAAGGCGGCUGACUGGACACAUAUUGACGCUGAGGCUCGAAAGCAUGGGGAGCAAACAGG